AAGCAGCAGGUGCGCCUGGCG
rnacentral:misc_RNA from 1 species